rnacentral:rRNA from 1 species
AUCUCCAAUAGCGUAUAUUAAAUUUGUUGCAGUUAAAAAUCUCGUAGUUGAACUUGUGGUUUGUUUGGCUUGGUCCGACGCUCAUGCAUUGGUACCUGAGCCAUGCUCCCAUCCUUGUCUGGAACCUGUGUGGCAUUAGGUUGUUGUGCAGGGAAUGCCAAUCGUUUACUGUGAAAAAUUAGAGUGUUCAAAGCAGGCUUAUGCUGUUGAAUAUAUUAGCAUGGAAUAAUAAAAUAAGACUUUAGUACUAUUUUGUUGGUUUGUGCACUAAAGUAAUGAUUAAUAGGGACAGUUGGGGGUAUUCUUAUUCCAUUGUUAGAGGUGAGAUUCUUGGAUUUUUGGACGACAAACUACUGCAAAAACAUUUAUCAAGGAUGUUUUCA